AGAGUUUGAUCCUGGCUCAGGAUGAACGCUGGCGGCGUGCUUAACACAUGCAAGUCGAACGAACCUUCGGGGAAGUGGCGGACGGGUGAGUAACGCGUGGGAAUCUGCCCUCAGGAGGGGGAUAACGGCUGGAAACGGCCGCUAAUACCCCAUAUGCCGAGAGGUGAAAUGAAAUUCGCCUGAGGAUGAGCCCGCGUCUGAUUAGCUAGUUGGUGGGGUAAGAGCCUACCAAGGCUUCGAUCAGUAGCUGGUCUGAGAGGAUGAUCAGCCACACUGGGACUGAGACACGGCCCAGACUCCUACGGGAGGCAGCAGUGGGGAAUUUUCCGCAAUGGGCGAAAGCCUGACGGAGCAACGCCGCGUGAGGGAUGAAGGCCUCUGGGCUGUAAACCUCUUUUCUCAAGGAAGAAGACAUGACGGUACUUGAGGAAUAAGCCACGGCUAAUUCCGUGCCAGCAGCCGCGGUAAUACGGGAGUGGCAAGCGUUAUCCGGAAUUAUUGGGCGUAAAGCGUCCGCAGGCGGCCUUGUAAGUCUGCUGUCAAAGCGUGGAGCUCAACUCCAUUUCGGCAGUGGAAACUACAAGGCUUGAGUGUGGUAGGGGCAGAGGGAAUUCCCGGUGUAGCGGUGAAAUGCGUAGAUAUCGGGAAGAACACCAGUGGCGAAGGCGCUCUGCUGGGCCAUAACUGACGCUCAUGGACGAAAGCCAGGGGAGCGAAAGGGAUUAGAUACCCCUGUAGUCCUGGCCGUAAACGAUGAACACUAGGUGUCGGGGGAAUCGACCCCCUCGGUGUCGUAGCCAACGCGUUAAGUGUUCCGCCUGGGGAGUACGCACGCAAGUGUGAAACUCAAAGGAAUUGACGGGGGCCCGCACAAGCGGUGGAGUAUGUGGUUUAAUUCGAUGCAACGCGAAGAACCUUACCAGGGUUUGACAUCCUGCGAACCCCUGAGAAAUCGGGGGGUGCCUUCGGGAACGCAGAGACAGGUGGUGCAUGGCUGUCGUCAGCUCGUGUCGUGAGAUGUUGGGUUAAGUCCCGCAACGAGCGCAACCCACGUCUUUAGUUGCCAGCAUUCAGUUGGGCACUCUAGAGAGACCGCCGGUGAUAAACCGGAGGAAGGUGUGGAUGACGUCAAGUCAUCAUGCCCCUUACAUCCUGGGCUACACACGUACUACAAUGCUACGGACAAAGGGCAGCAAGCUCGCGAGAGUAAGCAAAUCCCAUAAACCGUGGCUCAGUUCAGAUCGUAGGCUGCAACUCGCCUACGUGAAGGAGGAAUCGCUAGUAAUCGCAGGUCAGCAUACUGCGGUGAAUACGUUCCCGGGCCUUGUACACACCGCCCGUCACACCAUGGAAGUUGGCCAUGCCCGAAGUCGUUAC
rnacentral:rRNA from 1 species